GAUGAACGCUGGCGGCGUGCUUAACACAUGCAAGUCGAACGGUGAAGGCGGAGCUUGCUCUGCUGGAUCAGUGGCGAACGGGUGAGUAACACGUGAGCAAUCUGCCCCUGACCCUGGGAUAAGCGCUGGAAACGGCGUCUAAUACUGGAUACGAGCUGCGAAGGCAUCUUCAGCAGCUGGGAAGAAUUUCGGUCAGGGAUGAGCUCGCGGCCUAUCAGCUUGUUGGUGAGGUAAUGGCUCACCAAGGCGUCGACGGGUAGCCGGCCUGAGAGGGUGACCGGCCACACUGGGACUGAGACACGGCCCAGACUCCUACGGGAGGCAGCAGUGGGGAAUAUUGCACAAUGGGCGAAAGCCUGAUGCAGCAACGCCGCGUGAGGGACGACGGCCUUCGGGUUGUAAACCUCUUUUAGCAGGGAAGAAGCGAAAGUGACGGUACCUGCAGAAAAAGCGCCGGCUAACUACGUG
rnacentral:rRNA from 1 species